ACAACACCAGCCAAAAGGAGCAGUGCCCUCCAUGGAAGUAGAGGCUGGAAGUUAACAUCAGAGAAACAAGCUGCACUCCUUCAUAGCCCUGCCUCUGUCUCCCUCCCUGCGCGGACCCGUCUCAUUGCGUCCAUCUCAACGAGGCAUUCAAGCGAAUGAGAGCCCGGGAUGGGCGGGAGGCAGGUAAACACAGGGACAGGUGUGGAAAGACGGCUAGAAAAAUACACAUGAAGUCAUGUAGCGCUACCUAAAUCUGUCCUGACGUGGAACGAGCGGCUGUUUAGUGUGGAAAUGAGUCUGAGCGGGCCCUGUCCACAAUAACAUAGAAGCUUUGGAUUGCAAUGAUUUACAUCUCUUAUUUACAUGCAAGUGGCAGGGUUCCAACGCAUUUUUCAUUUUAAACUGCCACACUUUUCCAGGAUUCUCUGUGCUUUUUG